rnacentral:sRNA from 1 species
GCUGGGCAUGGUGGCUCAUGGCUGUAAUCCUAGCAGCUUAGGAGGCUGAGGCAGGAGAAUUGUGAGUUCAAAGCCAACCUUAGCAACAACGAGGUGCCAAGCAACUCAGUGAUACUCUGCCUCUA